rnacentral:rRNA from 1 species
UGAGGAAUAUUGCACAAUGGGCGCAAGCCUGAUGCAGCAACGCCGCGUGCGGGACGAAGGCCUUCGGGUCGUAAACCGCUUUUCCGGGGAAAGAGCAAGGACGGUACCUCAGGAAUAAGUCUCGGCUAACUACGUGCCAGCAGCUGCGGUAAAACGUAGGAGGCGAGCGUUAUCCGGAUUUACUGGGCGUAAAGCGCACGCAGGCGGCUCUGUGAGUCGGACGUGAAAGCUCCCGGCUUAACCGGGAGAGGCCGUUCGAUACUGCGGGGCUUGAGGUAGGGAGAGGAAUGCGGAAUUCCCGGUGUAGUGGUGGAAUGCGUAGAUAUCGGGAGGAACACCUGUGGCGAAAGCGGCGUUCUGGCCCUCACCUGACGCUGAGGUGCGAAAGCGUGGGUAGCAAACAG